UACGUAGGGGGCGAGCGUUGUCCGGAUUUAUUGGGCGUAAAGGGCGUGUAGGCGGCCAGGUGGGUCUGCUGUGAAAACUCGCGGCUCAACCUCGAGACGUCGGCGGAAACCAUCUGGCUAGAGUCCGGAAGAGGAGAGUGGAAUUCCUGGUGUAGCGGUGAAAUGCGCAGAUAUCAGGAAGAACACCCGUGGCGAAGGCGGCUCUCUGGGACGGUACUGACGCUGAGACGCGAAAGCGUGGGGAGCGAACAGG
rnacentral:rRNA from 1 species